rnacentral:rRNA from 1 species
CAACCUACGGGAGGCAGCAGUGGGGGAUAUUGCACAAUGGGGGGAACCCUGAUGCAGCGACGCCGCGUGGGUGAAGAAGUAUUUCGGUAUGUAAAGCCCUAUCGGCAGGGAAGAAUUUAGACGGUACCUGACUAAGAAGCCCUGGCUAACUACGUGCCAGCAGCCGCGGUAAUACGUAGGGGGCAAGCGUUAUCCGGAUUCACUGGGUGUAAAGGGAGCGUAGACGGCCAUGCAAGCCUGGAGUGAAAGCCCGGGGCCCAACCCCGGGACUGCUCUGGGGAAGGUGCGGCUGGGGGGCGGGGGGG